CCUAGAUAUGAUCCUUUUAACAAGACUAACAAUAGUAAUAACUUUACAUGUGUAAUCUUUCAAAAUUGUUGCUUAGAUCAUGAAUACGAUAAAGAUAGCAAAUGACACUCAAACAACUAGUUCAGUACAAGGAUCACUAUUAUCAAAUAUCAAUUUGUGCAAUGUAACUUAAGUGGUUGUGUGUUUAUCAUCCACUGUCCUAUGUAACAUGGGUAAAAAAUUUAAAAGAACGACUCACAUGUGUUUGUCCAUUCCCAUACACUCAAAAUUAAACUAACAAAAUAUGGUAAGAAUAAGACAAAAAGGGAAGCACUAAAAAGGCACUCAACCUGAAAGUUCAAACUUCCUUCACCUACAAACUUGUGCAUCAUGUUGAGUGAUUACUUAUGUAGCUUGAAAUGAACCUUUGAAAAGAAAUAGAGCAUUUGCAAGGAAGUUGCUAAUGCAUGUUAUAAACUGUACUAGAAUCAUUCUUGAAAAUAGCUGUUGAGAGAUUAAUAUUGUAGUUGUAUUUCUUGUAUCUCAUCAAUCGAUUACAUAGGUUUAUAUAUAUAAGGAAUUCCUAUGCUACCUAGCUAUUUAGGAAUACAAAUCAUAAACUAAUUAGGAAUCUAACUCCUAAUAGAACUCUAUUUACAACUAAUCCUUAACACUCCCCCUCAAGUUGGAGCAUAGAUAUUAAUCAUGCUCAACUUGUUACAAACUACUACUUUCAGCAAAGCACAAUACCAUAAUCAGCAACUGUACCCACUUCAUUAUAGCAAUAAAGAAUCCCAAACCAAAUAGUAGUAGCAGAAUCAAGACAACACACUUAGGUUGUCUAAACAAAUCUCAUUGAACCAGAAAACAACUCACAGGACUAUUUCAAGCUUCCAUAAUCAAUGCCUCAAAGAGGAAGCCCAGUAGCGCAAAUAUUCAGAAACGCAACAAAGGAAAAUCUGGCAAACGGAGCACACCAUUGAAGGCCAAGAACACAAUGCAACUCACUGGGGUUGCAGUGCUCUCGACAAAGGAGAAGGUUCAAAAGCAGAAUACCCAUAACUGCAGCAAAGGUGCAGUACCAAACCCUAAUGCAAUAAGGAAUCACUAGAAAAUCACCAAAAAUUACCUAAACCAAUUGUCACAGCAAAGGAAAAAUAUGUUUCCGCAGCAAAUUAAAGCAACAACAGUAGCAGANNNNNNNNNNNNNNNNNNNNNNNNNNNNNNNNNNNNNNNNNNNNNNCCUAUUGAAUAAGCCCAAGAAUGACGAUGCAACUCACUGGGUUGCACGUCUCUCUUCAAGCCAACGUCGGCAACUGAGCAGCAGCCUUUGGUCCUUUUUGCUUGCACUGUUUGCGACCAACACGAGCGGGUGGUGCUGCUGGCUCGAAUUUCUUAUCUUUCUUGUUGCCUCCAUUGGAUUUUCAGUGUCCGGGAAGGCCUUGCCGAUUGCCAGAUGGUCCUUGACCCAUGGCUUGCUUUUGUGCGAGACAGAGAUUUGAGUUUGGCUUUUUUUUUUUUUUUUUUUUUUUGAAUGGAAGGCUCUGAUACCANNNNNNNNNNNNNNNNNNNNNNNNNNNNNNNNNUAUCUCAUCAAUCGAUUACAUAGGUCUAUAUAUAAAGAAUUCCUAUGCUACCUAGCUAUUUAGGAAUACAAAUCAUAAACUAAUUAGG
rnacentral:lncRNA from 1 species